rnacentral:rRNA from 1 species
UACGUAGGCAGCAAGCGUUGUUCGGAAUUACUGGGCGUAAAGAGUGUGUAGGCGGUGCUCCAAGUCUGGUGUGAAAUCUCCCGGCUCAACUGGGAGGGUGCAUUAGAAACUGGAAUGCUAGAGGAUGGGAGAGGUAAGCGGAAUUCCUGGUGUAGCGGUGAAAUGCGUAAAUAUCAGGAGGAACACCUGUGGUGUAGACAGCUUACUGGACCAUUUCUGACGCUGAGACACGAAAGCGUGGGUAGCAAACAGG